rnacentral:rRNA from 1 species
CAGACGAGGAGCUUGCUUCUCUGACGUUAGCGGCGGACGGGUGAGUAACACGUGGAUAACCUACCUAUAAGACUGGGAUAACUUCGGGAAACCGGAGCUAAUACCGGAUAAUAUAUUGAACCGCAUGGUUCAAUAGUGAAAGACGGUUUUGCUGUCACUUAUAGAUGGAUCCGCGCCGCAUUAGCUAGUUGGUAAGGUAGCGGCUUACCAAGGCAACGAUGCGUAGCCGACCUGAGAGGGUGAUCGGCCACACUGGAACUGAGACACGGUCCAGACUCCUACGGGAGGCAGCAGUAGGGAAUCCUCCGCAAUGGGCGAAAGCCUGACGGAGCAACGCCGCGUGAGUGAUGAAGGUCUUCGGAUCGUAAAACUCUGCUAUUAGGGAAGAACAAAUGUGUAAGUAACUAUGCACGUCUUGACGGUACCUAAUCAGAAAGCCACGGCUAACUACGUGCCAGCAGCCGCGGUAAUACGUAGGUGGCAAGCGUUAUCCGGAAUUAUUGGGCGUAAAGCGCGCGUAGGCGGUUUUUUAAGUCUGAUGUGAAAGCCCACGGCUCAACCGUGGAGGGUCAUUGGAAACUGGAAAACUUGAGUGCAGAAGAGGAAAGUGGAAUUCCAUGUGUAGCGGUGAAAUGCGCAGAGAUAUGGAGGAACACCAGUGGCGAAGGCGACUUUCUGGUCUGUAACUGACGCUGAUGUGCGAAAGCGUGGGGAUCAAACAGGAUUA